rnacentral:rRNA from 1 species
AAGUCGUAACAAGGUUUCCGUAGGUGAACCUGCGGAAGGAUCAUUAAUGAAACUUGGGAGAAUUGAUGCUAGAACUUGUUCUAUGCGCUUUUCCCUUAAUCCAUACACACCUGUGCACUUUGAAAGGAGAGAACGGCUUUUAACGGCUGGUCUGUCCUUUCUCAUACAAACCCUUCUUGUAAAACGAAUGUUCAUUGGCCGAAAGGCUCUAAAAAAUACAACUUUUAACAACGGAUCUCUUGGCUCUCGCAUCGAUGAAGAACGCAGCGAAAUGCGAUAAGUAAUGUGAAUUGCAGAAUUCAGUGAAUCAUCGAAUCUUUGAAUGCACCUUGCGCUCCCUGGUAUUCCGGGGAGCACGCCUGUUCGAGUGUCAUGAAACUCUCAAGCAGCAUAGCUUUAUUGUUAUGUCUGUUUGGAUUUGGACUCUGCCGCUUUUACGAGUGGCUGGUCUUAAAUGUAUUAGCUGGCCCUUGUGAGUCUUGGUUCUACUCGGCGUGAUAAUUAUCUGACGUUGAGGACAGUCUUCGGACUGGCCAAGGUCUUCAAAGACCGCUUCUAAUCGUCUUCGGACAAUCAAAUUUCUACAUCUGACCUCGAAUCAGGCGGGACUACCCGCUGAACUUAAGCAUAUCAAUAAGCGGAGGAAAAGAAACUAACAAGGAUUCCCCUAGUAACGGCGAGUGAAGCGGGAUGAGCUCAAAUUUAAAAUCCGGUGGUCUUUGGCCAUCCGAGUUGUAAUCUAGAGAAGCGUUUUCCGUGCUAGACCGUGUACAAGUUUCCUGGAACGGAACGUCAUAGAGGGUGAGAAUCCCGUCCUUGACACGGACUACUAGUGCUCUGUGAUACGCUCUCAACGAGUCGAGUUGUUUGGGAUUGCAGCUCAAAAUGGGAGGUAAAUUCCUUCUAAAGCUAAAUAUUGGCGAGAGACCGAUAGCGGACAAGUACCGUGAGGGAAAGAUGAAAAGCACUUUGGAAAGAGAGUUAAACAGUACGUGAAAUUGUUAAAAGGGAAACGAUUGAAGUCAGUCGCGUCUGCUUGGACUCAGCCUUACCUCGGUUUGGUGCAUUUCCUUGUAGACGAGCCAGCGUUAAUGUUGUCCUUCGGAAAAGGGUUGGGGGAAUGUGGCUCUUUCGGGAGUGUUAUAGCCCUUGAUCGUAUACGGAGGCUGAUAUUGAGUGGUACAGCAUGCUUCGGCGGUGCUUGUGCUGGCAUAAUGGCUUUAAACGACC